CAGUCGCCGCGGGAAUACGUAGGGUGCGAGCGUUGUCCGGAAUUAUUGGGCGUAAAGCGUGCGUAGGCGGUUUGUUAAGUCUGUUGUGAAAUCCCCGGGCUCAACCUGGGAAUGGCAAUGGAUACUGGCAAGCUAGAGUGUGUCAGAGGAUGGUGGAAUUCCCGGUGUAGCGGUGAAAUGCGUAGAGAUCGGGAGGAACAUCAGUGGCGAAGGCGGCCAUCUGGGACAACACUGACGCUGAGGCACGAAAGCGUGUGGAGCAAACAGGAUUAGAUACCCCGGUAGUCCCUGUCUCUUAUAC
rnacentral:rRNA from 1 species